AUAAAGUGAUGAUAAAAGAAUAAUAUAAAAGGUGAUGCGGAAAAUAAAAGAAAUGUAAUAAAAGAUUUCUUCUUAUAUUCAUUUUAUUUUAUUUCUGCAAAAAAAGAAAAAUGAGCCUUAUAUAGAAGUCAUAGUUACUCUGAUUA
rnacentral:sRNA from 2 species